rnacentral:snRNA from 1 species
AUCGCUUCUGGCUUUUUGGCUAAGAUCAAGUGUAGUGUCUGUUAUUAUCAGUUUAAUAUCUGAUACGUCCUCUAUCUGAGGAAACUAUAUUAAAUGGAUUUUUGGAGCAGGGAGUCAGAAUAGGGGCUUGUUCCCGUCCACUCCAUGCAUCGACCUGGUAUUGCAGUACUUCCAGGAAUGGUGCACACCCA